UUUUUUUUUUGUUUUGUUUUGAUUUGAGACAGGGUUUCUCUGUGUAGCUUUGGAGCCUAUCCUGGCACUCGCUCUGGAGACCAGGUUGGCCUUGAACUCACAGAGAUCCGCCUGCCUCUGCCUCCGAGUGCUGGGAUUAACGGCGUGCAUCACCAACACCUGGCUCUUGUUGACUCCUAAUGAGGUGGUAGGAGUUCCUCAGUUUUGUUUAUUUGAGACAAGGUCUCAGCUCAAGCUAGCCACAAACUUGGUGAUCCCAAAGGCUGUGAGUUCAUGUGUGUAAUAGCCACGUCUUCUCCAGAAGACAACAUUUCACACUCUCCCCGUCCUCCAAGGCUUGCGUCCU
rnacentral:lncRNA from 1 species